CGAUAAGAUCCGCACCUUAGUUACGGAACAAACUGUCGUUAAGGUUACGAUGUGACGUCACACAAUUAUAAAUCACACAUGGAGCGGUCACCCACGUUAUGUCGCAGACAGAUACCAAUCGCCGCAUAGGACAUUCGGUGUUUGCAAAUGUCCCCAUGCACCGACAUUAGUAGAUAGGUCCACUGCAGAAUUGUUGAUGACGUCACAUCCUGGGCGAAACAAACUCUGAUCCAAGUCCGCUUGCGUCUGACAACAUGAUUUCGUCAAGGGAACAGACAGUGAAGGAAGAGGUGAUGAAGUAUAUGCAAGAGGUGAAACUGCCGAUGAUGCGGCACGAGGAAGCCAUGACAUUAAAGUGUUUAAAAUUACCCAAUCAGUAUUCUCGUUAUUUCAACGUCUGCCCGGAACGAAGCAUGGGUAAUUUCCCUUGGCCGCCCACGUGUGAGAACCCAUACGAUGACACGGAGUUGAGGGAGACGGGCAAGCGAGUGGUUGAAACCAACAGUAUCGGUCCCUUCUCCACCCUUGGCAAAAGAGGGUGUGGGUGUGUGUUUGAUCCACAGGCCGAUAACAAACGAUAUAGAACGGGACUCUCUACAAUGAAGCUUGGACCGUGGAGAGAGCCUAUUAGACCGCGGAUUAAACUUGGUAAGAGUUAGCCUUCCUACGACACCACGAAUUUCAUAUCGAACAGCACGGAUUGGCAGGUUUAGCAGAAUAGCGUGUAGCACCAUCAACUGGCAUUUGGCGCCACGGAGUAAUAUGUAACACAGCGAAUUAGCAUUUGGCACCAUGGAUUAGCAUACAUAACACUUCGAAUUAGCGAAUUACUCCAACGAGUUAGCAUUUGGCAUGACGGGUUAGCAGGUAACAUCACGAACUGGUUUUUGGUACCACACAUUAGCAUAAAACACCACACAAUAGCAAGCCAACACCACGCAGAAGUAUUUAACAGCACGAACUAGACAUGACACAAAUUAGCCUCGGCUAGCCAAGAUGACAACUGCGUAUGAUGAUUGAGAGAGAGAGAGAGAGAGAGAGAGAGAGAGAGAGAGAGAGAGAGAGAGAGAGAGAGAGAGAGAGAGAGAGAGAGAGAGAGAGAGAGAGAGAGAGAGAGAGAGAGCGCGCAUUGUUGCAAAUAUCUUUCAUUUCGUUGGAUGUUGCAGGGAUCUUCAGUGGCAGUCGUGUUUGAUUUGUCUACAUGUUACUAAAUGCCCUAUUUCAAACUAUAAAAGUAUUGAAGAAGCGUUAAACAGUGCCAAGAGAACAUAAAGUUGUGUUAAAGUAUUUUAUUGCUUUCUUUCCUAUUUCUGGCUGUUUGUUUUUGUUUGUAUUUUGUUUUUUCUAUUUAUUUAAUGAUAAUGUGGUGUAUGUGUUUAGUAUUUUGGAACUUAUUUUGUUUUUAAAGUAUUGUCGUAUACCGAAAUGUACCGACAUCGGCAUGAAGUUCCUUUUGCGCACGUGAAAAAACCGCUAGCAAAACUAGCAGAAUAAAGCUUAAAGUUACAUUCUUUGUAGCUGUCUUUCCCCCCAUAAAAUAUAAGUACUAGUACGGUCGUGUAACUUCGUUUUUGUGUUCCAGUUCUCAAAAGGGUACGAGACGGGGAUGGAUGGAUGGUGUGUGUGUGUGUGUGUGUGUGUGUGUGUGUGUGUGUGUGUGUGUGUGUGUGUGUGUGUGUGUGUGUGUGUGUGUAGCGGGGUGGGGGGGGGGGGGGUUAGUGUCAAAUCGUAAGUCGCCGAAUCUGGAUAACAAUAUUUAUUCGCAGUAAUGCUAAUAUGGAUAAAUGUUGUCCAGAUUCGGACAUUUUCGUUUAAUUUGUGCAAAAAUCAGCCUAUGCCUUUACAACAAUGGGAGUUGUGUGUGUGUGUGUGUGUGUGUGUGUGUGUGUGUGUGUGUGUGUGUGUGUGUGUGUGUGUGUGUGUGUUAUUCUUGCUUCUUAAUUUUUUUUUUAUUAUGUUAUUUUUAUAUAUUGUUUUGUUUUUGCUGUUAUUUCUAAAAUAUUAUUUAUUGUAUAUCAAUAUUUUACUUAAUAUGGUAGUUUGUAAUCUGUCAUUACAAAACGCUAUUUCGGUAUAAUUAAAAACAAACUAUAUAUU